AGCGUACACGGUGGAUGCCCUGGCAGUCAGAGGCGAUGAAGGACGUGCUAAUCUGCGAUAAGCGUCGGUAAGGUGAUAUGAACCGUUAUAACCGGCGAUUUCCGAAUGGGGAAACCCAGUGUGUUUCGACACACUAUCAUUAACUGAAUCCAUAGGUUAAUGAGGCGAACCGGGGGAACUGAAACAUCUAAGUACCCCGAGGAAAAGAAAUCAACCGAGAUUCCCCCAGUAGCGGCGAGCGAACGGGGAGCAGCCCAGAGCCUGAAUCAGUAUGUGUGUUAGUGGAAGCGUCUGGAAAGGCGCGCGAUACAGGGUGACAGCCCCGUACACAAAAAUGCACAUGCUGUGAGCUCGAUGAGUAGGGCGGGACACGUGGUAUCCUGUCUGAAUAUGGGGGGACCAUCCUCCAAGGCUAAAUACUCCUGACUGACCGAUAGUGAACCAGUACCGUGAGGGAAAGGCGAAAAGAACCCCGGCGAGGGGAGUGAAAAAGAACCUGAAACCGUGUACGUACAAGCAGUGGGAGCACAGAGCAAUCUGUGUGACUGCGUACCUUUUGUAUAAUGGGUCAGCGACUUAUAUUCUGUAGCAAGGUUAACCGAAUAGGGGAGCCGAAGGGAAACCGAGUCUUAACUGGGCGUUAAGUUGCAGGGUAUAGACCCGAAACCCGGUGAUCUAGCCAUGGGCAGGUUGAAGGUUGGGUAACACUAACUGGAGGACCGAACCGACUAAUGUUGAAAAAUUAGCGGAUGACUUGUGGCUGGGGGUGAAAGGCCAAUCAAACCGGGAGAUAGCUGGUUCUCCCCGAAAGCUAUUUAGGUAGCGCCUCGUGAAUUCAUCUCCGGGGGUAGAGCACUGUUUCGGCAAGGGGGUCAUCCCGACUUACCAACCCGAUGCAAACUGCGAAUACCGGAGAAUGUUAUCACGGGAGACACACGGCGGGUGCUAACGUCCGUCGUGAAGAGGGAAACAACCCAGACCGCCAGCUAAGGUCCCAAAGUCAUGGUUAAGUGGGAAACGAUGUGGGAAGGCCCAGACAGCCAGGAUGUUGGCUUAGAAGCAGCCAUCAUUUAAAGAAAGCGUAAUAGCUCACUGGUCGAGUCGGCCUGCGCGGAAGAUGUAACGGGGCUAAACCAUGCACCGAAGCUGCGGCAGCGACGCUUAUGCGUUGUUGGGUAGGGGAGCGUUCUGUAAGCCUGUGAAGGUGUGCUGUGAGGUAUGCUGGAGGUAUCAGAAGUGCGAAUGCUGACAUAAGUAACGAUAAAGCGGGUGAAAAGCCCGCUCGCCGGAAGACCAAGGGUUCCUGUCCAACGUUAAUCGGGGCAGGGUGAGUCGACCCCUAAGGCGAGGCCGAAAGGCGUAGUCGAUGGGAAACAGGUUAAUAUUCCUGUACUUGGUGUUACUGCGAAGGGGGGACGGAGAAGGCUAUGUUGGCCGGGCGACGGUUGUCCCGGUUUAAGCGUGUAGGCUGGUUUUCCAGGCAAAUCCGGAAAAUCAAGGCUGAGGCGUGAUGACGAGGCACUACGGUGCUGAAGCAACAAAUGCCCUGCUUCCAGGAAAAGCCUCUAAGCAUCAGGUAACAUCAAAUCGUACCCCAAACCGACACAGGUGGUCAGGUAGAGAAUACCAAGGCGCUUGAGAGAACUCGGGUGAAGGAACUAGGCAAAAUGGUGCCGUAACUUCGGGAGAAGGCACGCUGAUAUGUAGGUGAAGCGACUUGCUCGUGGAGCUGAAAUCAGUCGAAGAUACCAGCUGGCUGCAACUGUUUAUUAAAAACACAGCACUGUGCAAACACGAAAGUGGACGUAUACGGUGUGACGCCUGCCCGGUGCCGGAAGGUUAAUUGAUGGGGUCAGCGCAAGCGAAGCUCUUGAUCGAAGCCCCGGUAAACGGCGGCCGUAACUAUAACGGUCCUAAGGUAGCGAAAUUCCUUGUCGGGUAAGUUCCGACCUGCACGAAUGGCGUAAUGAUGGCCAGGCUGUCUCCACCCGAGACUCAGUGAAAUUGAACUCGCUGUGAAGAUGCAGUGUACCCGCGGCAAGACGGAAAGACCCCGUGAACCUUUACUAUAGCUUGACACUGAACAUUGAGCCUUGAUGUGUAGGAUAGGUGGGAGGCUUUGAAGUGUGGACGCCAGUCUGCAUGGAGCCGACCUUGAAAUACCACCCUUUAAUGUUUGAUGUUCUAACGUUGACCCGUAAUCCGGGUUGCGGACAGUGUCUGGUGGGUAGUUUGACUGGGGCGGUCUCCUCCUAAAGAGUAACGGAGGAGCACGAAGGUUGGCUAAUCCUGGUCGGACAUCAGGAGGUUAGUGCAAUGGCAUAAGCCAGCUUGACUGCGAGCGUGACGGCGCGAGCAGGUGCGAAAGCAGGUCAUAGUGAUCCGGUGGUUCUGAAUGGAAGGGCCAUCGCUCAACGGAUAAAAGGUACUCCGGGGAUAACAGGCUGAUACCGCCCAAGAGUUCAUAUCGACGGCGGUGUUUGGCACCUCGAUGUCGGCUCAUCACAUCCUGGGGCUGAAGUAGGUCCCAAGGGUAUGGCUGUUCGCCAUUUAAAGUGGUACGCGAGCUGGGUUUAGAACGUCGUGAGACAGUUCGGUCCCUAUCUGCCGUGGGCGCUGGAGAACUGAGGGGGGCUGCUCCUAGUACGAGAGGACCGGAGUGGACGCAUCACUGGUGUUCGGGUUGUCAUGCCAAUGGCACUGCCCGGUAGCUAAAUGCGGAAGAGAUAAGUGCUGAAAGCAUCUAAGCACGAAACUUGCCCCGAGAUGAGUUCUCCCUGACUCCUUGA
rnacentral:rRNA from 1 species